CCAAUAGCGUAUAUUAAAGUUGUUGCAGUUAAAAAGCUCGUAGUUGAAUUUCGGGGUUAGUAGGUUGGUCAUGCCUCUGGUAUGUACUGGUCUCACUGAUUCCUCCUUCCUGAUGAGCCGUAAUGCCAUUAAUUUGGUGUUGCGGGGAAUUUGGACUGUUACUUUGAAAAAAUUAGAGUGUUUAAAGCAAGCUAACGCUUGAAUACAUUAGCAUGGAAUAAUGAAAUAGGACGUUCGAUCCUAUUUUGUUGGUUUCUAGGAUUGACGUAAUGAUUAAUAGGGAUAGUUGGGGGCAUUAGUAUUCAAUUGUCAGAGGUGAAAUUCUUGGAUUUAUUGAAGACUAACUACUGCGAAAGCAUUUGCCAAGGAUGUUUUCAUUAAUCAAGAACGAAAGUUAGGGGAUCGAAGACGAUCAGAUACCGUCGUAGUCUUAACCAUAAACUAUGCCGACUAGGGAUCGGAUGAUGUUAAUUUUUUAAUGACUCACUCGGCGCCUUACG
rnacentral:rRNA from 1 species